rnacentral:rRNA from 1 species
AGCAGCCGCGGUAAUUCCAGCUCCAAUAGCGUAUAUUAAAGUUGUUGCAGUUAAAAAGCUCGUAGUUGAAUUUCGGGAUCAAUAUGUUGGUCGUGCCUCGGUACGUACUAGCAUAUUGGUUUCUCCUUUCUGAAGAACCAUGAUGUCAUUUAUUUGGUGUCGUGGGGAAUCAGGACUGUUACUUUGAAAAAUUAGAGUGUUUAAAGCAGGCUCACGCUUGAAUACAUUAGCAUGGAAUAAUGAAAUAGGACGUUUGAUUCUAUUUUGUUGGUUUCUAGGAUCGACGUAAUGAUUAAUAGGGAUAGUUGGGGGCAUUAGUAUUCAAUUGUCAGAGGUGAAAUUCUUGGAUUUAUUGAAGACUAACUACUGCGAAAGCAUUUGCCAAGGAUGUUUUCAUUAAUCAAGAACGAAAGUUAGGGGAUCGAAGACGAUCAGAUACCGUCGUAGUCUUAACCAUAAACUAUGCCGACUAGGGAUCGGAUGAUGUUAAUUUUUAAUGA